rnacentral:tRNA from 1 species
UCCAUAGCUCAGUAGGUAGAGCAGAGGACUGAAAAUCCUUGUGUCACUGGUUCGAAUCCCGUUGGAGC